rnacentral:lncRNA from 1 species
UUGACAGAGUGACUUAACCUCUGUGCCCCAGUUCCUCCUCUGGAAAAAGGGGAAGACAGAAAUGAUAUCUUUCAUAGGGUUUUGCAGGAAUUAAAUGAGUUAACAGAGGUAAAGAGCUUAAAACAGUGGUUGCCACAUAAACACUGGGCCAAUGUUACCCAGGUUAAAUGUCAGCUACCUGCAGGGGUCUCUGCUCAUUCUGGGCUGGUUCAUGACUGAUCCACAGGCGCCCGCCACUACCCCCAGCUAAUUUUUUGUAUUUUUAGUAGAGACAGGGUUUCACCGUGUUAGCCAGGAUGGUCUCGAUCUCCUGACCUCGUGAUCCGCCCGCCUCGGCCUCCCAAAGUGCUGGAAUUACAGACGUGAGCCACCACGCCCAGCCAGUUCAUAAGGAUUAUGAUUGUUACCACCGGUUCUUGCCAUCCAUAUUCCCCUCACUCCCCCCUUCUUUCCCUCCCCAUUCUCCUAACUACUAUGAAUAGGAAAUAUAUAUAUAUAAAAAAUAUAUAUAUAAUGUAUAUUGUAUAUCAUGUAUAUAUUACAUAUUAUUAUAUAUAUUUUGUAUAUUAUGUAAAUAUUUUGUAUCCUUCAUUCCAAUCAAGUUGACAUUCGGGAUUAACCAUCACAUCAAUAAUCAAGACAGUAUAGAAAGUGAGACUAGUUCAUUAACGGCACUAUGUGUAUGGCGUAUACGGUGAUGCCUAGGUUACCAUUCUCUGGGGUGUGCACCCAGGCCUGAAAGGCACUAAGUGCAAAUGGAGUCGUUAACUGUGGGCAUAAGUUGUCUCAGGGCCAGGCUGGUGGCUGGGGAGGAGGUGGCCCCGGGGAAGAGACUGUAGGACAGGAAAUGGAAACCUGAAUCCUAAGACAUAGUCCACGUCUAAUAUGAUGUCUAAGGCUAUGUUUUCAUGAGUAAAGCUUCUCCACUCAGCAAGCCUUUAAAGCACCUGGGUUAUGAUGCGCAUGGAUCUGGUUAAGUUACAAAGACCUACUCCCCAGAAACCAGAAACAAAAAGAACUGUCAGACUCCUGGAUAUCUUGCUCUUGCGGGUACUGUGCAGGUCUCUGUGUGUGCCAGGUUCUGUUGCUGUUUUAACGUCCUACGUAAAUAAAAGAGAGAGGAAAGUGCUGCUGUUUCACUGGAGAUAUUUUCGUUCUUUUUUGAGGGGGUGGGAUGAGUAUUCCCUAAAAGUAACCUCUGAAAGAGCUGUAAACAUGAUCUAAUAAACAAUGAUCUCAAAGCUCCCUACCUUUGGGGGCUGUUAAGUUAAUGUGAAUGCCCACUAAUUUUCCAGGUGGUCCACUUGGUUAAGAAUAUCUCUUCCCUUUCUCAAAGAACUAAAAUUAGAACUGUCAUUUGACCCAGCAAUCCCUCUACUGGGUAUCUACCUAAAGAAAAAGAAAUCGUUCUGUCAAAAAGACACCUGCACAUGUAUGUUUAUUGCAGCACUGUUCACAAUAGCAAAAAAGAAUGAAAUUAUGUUCUUUGCAGCAGCACAAUGCAGCUGAAGGCCAUUAUCCAAGGUGAAUUAAUGCAGAAACAGAAAAUCAAAUACCACACCUCUUCCCCUUCUUUGCCUCGCUUUUCGUGGCAAAAAUAGAAAAAAUCGAGUCACAUAAUUUCUUGUUCUUUUGGAAUUAAUGGUAUUUCCCAUGAGUGUGAAAUUAUGAAGAGUUGCUCCUAGAAAGCCAUUUUGUUCUACAAGCAUGUUUAAUCAAGAAAAUAAAUAUCCUUUUGCAAAUUUUUAUAAGCAUGUAAGGCAUAUUUCUUGCAGAAGCUGAGACAUAUUUAAUGCAGAAGCUGAUUUCAAAUUGGCUUAAUUUUUAAUGCCUGCAUUGGAAUAAACCUGUAUCCCAUUUCCUUUCCUUAUGUGGGACCCAAGACCUUGUCUCAAGCACGAGAAGGUCCAGUUUAAGUAAAAUUAGUGUUUCUCAGGAGACGAGAGAGGCCCUGAUAAGAUCCUCAAGUUGAAACACGCUAAAACCCUAGCAAAUUGAAUUGAGACCUAGAUAUAUUAUUAGAAAGUACAGACCCUCAAAGGUAAAGUAGAAGAUGUUGAAGGCACAGAGGGAGAAAGAGAGAUCGCCUGAGGGUCUGUAAUGACACUGACUAUGGAUUUCCACAGUAAUCAUAGAAGUAUGAAGAUGGAGCUGAGAACGUAACUGCCAACCUAGAAUACUUUACUAAUGUAAAAUAUGAUUCAAGAAACAAAAUGAAAUGGACACUUUCAAACAAGCCCUGAAAUUUUUACCACUGGUGGACUCUUGCUAAAAAGAUCAUGAA